CCGUGAAAAAAUUAGAGUGUUCAAAGCAGGCAGAUCCAAUUUUCUGCCACCGAAUACAUUAGCAUGGGAUAAUGGAAUAGGACCCUGUCCUCCUAUUUUCAGUUGGUUUUGGCAGCGCGAGGACUAGGGUAAUGAUUAAUAGGGAUAGUUGGGGGCAUUAAUAUUUAAUUGUCAGAGGUGAAAUUCUUGGAUUUAUGAAAGAUUAACUUCUGCGAAAGCAUCUGCCAAGGAUGUUUUCAUUAAUCAAGAACGAAAGUUAGGGGAUCGAAGACGAUCAGAUACCGUCGUAGUCUUAACCAUAAACGAUGCCGACCAGCGAUUAGGAGACGUUGAAUACAAAACACCACCAUCGGCGCGGUCGUCCUUGGCGUCUGUCCCUUUCAACGGCAGGCGCGAGGGCGGUUUAGCCCGGUGGCACCGGUGAAUGACUCC
rnacentral:rRNA from 1 species